UACAGAGGGGGCAAGCGUUGUUCGGAAUUACUGGGCGUAAAGGGCGCGUAGGCGGCCUGUUAAGUCGAACGUGAAAUCCCCGGGCUCAACCCGGGAACUGCGUCCGAUACUGGCAGGCUUGAAUCCGGGAGAGGGAUGCGGAAUUCCAGGUGUAGCGGUGAAAUGCGUAGAUAUCUGGAGGAAUACCGGUGGCGAAGGCGGCAUCCUGGACCGACAUUGACGCUGAGGAGCGAAAGCUAGGGGAGCAAACGGG
rnacentral:rRNA from 1 species